GAUGAACGCUGGCGGCGUGCCUAAUACAUGCAAGUCGAGCGAACAGAUGAGGAGCUUGCUCCUCUGACGUUAGCGGCGGACGGGUGAGUAACACGUGGAUAACCUACCUAUAAGACUGGGAUAACUUCGGGAAACUGGAGCUAAUACCGGAUAAUAUAUUGAACCGCAUGGUUCAAUAGUGAAAGACGGUUUUGCUGUCACUUAUAGAUGGAUCCGCGCCGCAUUAGCUAGUUGGUAAGGUAACGGCUUACCAAGGCAACGAUGCGUAGCCGACCUGAGAGGGUGAUCGGCCACACUGGAACGGAGACACGGUCCAGACUCCUACGGGAGGCAGCAGUAGGGAAUCUUCCGCAAUGGGCGAAAGCCUGACGGAGCAACGCCGCGUGAGUGAUGAAGGUCUUCGGAUCGUAAAACUCUGUUAUUAGGGAAGAACAAAUGUGUAAGUAACUAUGCACGUCUUGACGGUACCUAAUCAGAAAGCCACGGCUAACUACGUG
rnacentral:rRNA from 1 species